UACGUAGGGGGCUAGCGUUGUCCGGAUUUAUUGGGCGUAAAGAGCGUGUAGGCGGCCAGAUAGGUCUGCUGUGAAAACUCGAGGCUCAACCUCGAGAUGUCGGCGGAAACCACUUGGCUAGAGUCCGGAAGAGGAAAGUGGAAUUCCUGGUGUAGCGGUGAAAUGCGCAGAUAUCAGGAAGAACACCCGUGGCGAAGGCGGCUUUCUGGGACGGUACUGACGCUGAGACGCGAAAGCGUGGGGAGCGAACAGG
rnacentral:rRNA from 1 species